rnacentral:rRNA from 1 species
GAUGAACGCUGGCGGCGUGCCUAAUACAUGCAAGUCGAGCGAACGGACGAGGAGCUUGCUUCUCUGAUGUUAGCGGCGGACGGGUGAGUAACACGUGGAUAACCUACCUAUAAGACUGGGAUAACUUCGGGAAACCGGAGCUAAUACCGGAUGAUAUUUUGAACCGCAUGGUUCAAAAGUGAAAGACGGUCUUGCUGUCACUUAUAGAUGGAUCCGCGCUGCAUUAGCUAGUUGGUAAGGUAACGGCUUACCAAGGCAACGAUGCAUAGCCGACCUGAGAGGGUGACCGCCCACACGGGAACUGAGACACGGUCCAGACUCCUACGGGAGGCAGCAGUAGGGAAUCUUCCGCAAUGGGCGAAAGCCUGACGGAGCAACGCCGCGUGAGUGAUGAAGGUCUUCGGAUCGUAAAACUCUGUUAUUAGGGAAGAACAUAUGUGUAAGUAACUGUGCACAUCUUGACGGUACCUAAUCAGAAAGCCACGGCUAACUACGUG